CUUUCAAGUUUUUGUUGUCAAGCAAUGGAAGAGGAAAGCUGAAAAAAUCCUGGAUCUGAACAGUAAGGAAAACUCCUAUGAAGCUGAGAAAGUUAAGACUAGGAAAUGCUAUUGACUCUGGUGUUCAAAAUUUUGCAAGGAUUUAACAUGAAUAUAUACUGAGAGAGAAGCCACAAUGCUCUGUAAGAUCUUGGCAGGUAGCAAAAUGAGUGUUGAGAGAUGGGCUCGAGGCUUGUGUAGUUGUUCCUCUGAGUCAGUAAUCAAGAGUACCGGGUAGGCAUAAAGCUGAUUUAUGUCUAUUUCGCGAAGAUAAUGACUUACGAACCUUUGGCUCGUCGAAAACCCGUAAGGUGAAGCGGGUUGGACACGUGACAAAGCUACACAUAACCACCAAAGCGAUGGAGCUUCGUAGUAGCCUUUGAGGUGGUGAGGUAUUCCCUCAAAGGUGAAGGUCGGCCUGAAAAAAAAAAAAUCAAAGAAAAAAAAAUAGCAAAAAGCUAAGUGCAAAAGAAAGAACAACAAAAAAACUAAGAAAAAAACAAAAAGCAAAAGGUGCCUGCCAAGAGAUGAAAGACAUGAAGGUUGAACUCGCAGGAAUUGAAUGUUACGAUCUUUUGUGGAUGUGCGAAUUUGGGGUCAAUAUCUGCUCCUUUUUUUUAUUACCUAAGAUGUCGAGGAUGAUUCCUUUAUGUUCACAUUUUGGAAAUUGAAAGAUAUCCCUUCUAGAGGUUCGAUGACAUUGAUGCGAAAUGAAUCCUAAUCCUUGUAUGGUACUAUGGAUAAGUGAAUGACAUAUUACUUGCACAACACCAGCACUCAAGCUUAUGAGUUAAAGUAAUAAUUUUGAACUAUUUCAAAGUAAAAACUUGACAUCUUUUGUUAUAUUUCGAGGUUUUCUAGGCAUAAGAGGAACUAACCAAUCCCUUUUGGUCUUGAAAGGUGUUUGCCAUUUCAUUAACAAACUACUAGUCCAUUUAUGCAAUAGAUGGAACUCUUCAAACAAUUUGUCCAUCUUUUCCUUUGUAUUUGGAGAGGCACAUCAUUUGGGAACCUGACCCAUGAUUCCAUCUUAACAGAGUGUCUUCAACCCGUUGAAAUGUCUUCAACCUGUUUUUCAAUGACAUAACCCAGACUUAGGGUUGAGGCUAUCAUGGAAGAUCUCUUAUCUGUUUUCAAAAGAACUGGUCGAUUUUGAACUGUGACAUUUUUGAAAAGUUCUAUCCUUUGAAGUUGCAUGAGUUUUGUUCUUGGCUUCAUCUAAUAUUUGUCUUGGCUUGCAAUACAUGGUUUUGCAAAAUGGCGUGGAGUUAUUCUUCAUCAUCACCAACUACCCACCCAUGCCUUUGCUUCGACAGUUGGGUCCUUUAUGGUUUCGGACCAGGUAAGGCCCAGGAUCAUGAACUAGAAGUUGAUCUAUGGACGGCUGAGUUCCAUUGCCGGCCGGAAUUCCCAAGUCGGACGGUGGUUCUAGUGGCCGCUGCUCACUUCCGGCAUCCAUCGAGCGGCUAUCGCAAUUCCCCUUGCUCAUCCCCAAAUUACCCUUGGCAACAUUUACAAUGAAUUGAUUGAUGUCUAAGUCAAGGAGGGCAAGUCAGACCCGGUGGUGAGUUAAUGAGCGGAAAAGGAGGACGCAACUCGUUGGCGCUCAUUCCUCUUCUUCCCCUUCGGCUUCCCUUCAUCAAUACAAGUGUUACAUAAGGCUUCUCACUCAAGUGAAGCUGUCCACUUGGCCACACAUAGAGGUAAGUUAAUUCCCUAACGCCAAGUGUCAUCUUCAUCAUUACACCCCAGCCACAACACUUCAUCCCCUUCAUUCACACUCUUCACCCCCUUUACCCUUUACCCGUUAGCCCCUUCACCUCCUUAUUACCGUUCCUAAACCCAUAGAAACUCAAAAGUCACAUUCUUCUCAGCUGGCCACUUAGCUCCUCUCAUCAUUAACCCUCUUGAAGCCUCCCCACCGUGAGUCAUAACUCACCUCAUUUCCCACCACUCCAUGCCAUAAUUGAGGAAUUAAAGGUACGUAUUCACCUCUUUUAGCUAGGAAGCCUCUUCGCACACCCUUAGCCCUUUACAUCUUGUAACCAACCCAUUCCACUUAACUCUAGCCUUAACCUCUCUUAUCCUCAUGCCAUAACCUCCUCUACCUCGUCCUUAAUCCCCACUUCUCAUCAUUAGUUAGCCUACCCUCUUGCAUGUCUCUUGGCUUAACCCUUAGCAUAACCGACCCCCAUCAUUAGUAUCCAUCACUCGUAAGCUUAACUCUCCACUUUCUAUUGCAUGACCCUUAUCCUAUCCCUAAACCAUAACCGACUAGUCCAUCACUAGACUAGUCGUUGCCUUAACCCCACUUCACUUGGCUCUACUCAAGCCAACCCCUACCGAACCACCUAGGCUACAGUGACUUACCUACCUUGAUCUAGUCCAUCAGAGUUCAAAUCUCUAUUGAGCUCACCUAACCGAACCUAGCCUACCUAAACCCUCACCGAGCUCACCUCCUUGUUCCGAGCUCGACCUUACCCCUUGGAGUCCAUUAGAUAGGUUCAUCUCCAAGGUUGUUCGUGUUCAGAUCAGAGUUAUCAGCCCAACAGGUGACAACUUCCGAUCAACCUGACCGGCGCCAAGGCGACCUCGGCCAGGUGGGCCGAGCGCUCUUCCUGCACUCUUGCGUGUCUCUUGGCUUAACCCUUAGCAUAACCGACCCCCAUCAUUAGUAUCCAUCACUCUUAAGCUUAACUAUCCACUUUCUAUCGCAUGACCCUUAGCCUAUCCCUAAACCAUAACCGACUAGUCCAUCACUAGCCCAGUCGUUGCCUUAACCCCACUUCACUUGGCUCUACUCAAGCCAACCCACUACCGAACCACCUAGGCUACAGUGACUUACCUACCUUGACCUAGUCCAUCCAAGCUCAAAUCUCUACUGAGCUCACCUAACCGAACCUAGCCUACCUAAACCCUCACCGAGCUCACCUCCUUGUUCCGAGCUCGGCCUUACCCCUUGGAGUCCAUUAGAUAGGUUCAUCUCCAAGGCUGUUCUUGUUCAGAUCAGAGUUAUCAGCCCAACAAGUGACAACUUCACACGGCCUUAUUGCUGCAACUCGUAGCCUUCAGCAGCCGAUCAACCUCACCGGCGCCAAGGCGACCUCGGCCAGGCGGGCCGAGCCCCUGCCUCCUACCGGCCGCUCUUCCUGCACGUUGCUGUUACACUCGGCCGACCGAGGCCAGCAGCAGCUCCCUUGCUCCAGGCGUCGUAGCCGACAACAUCCCUCAAUGCCACCUUCAUUGCCGAGACUCUCUCGACCAGCUCAUUCGAGCGUCCUCGGCCAGGCGGGCCGAGCCAUCUCGUCACCACCUUGCUGAGAUAUCCGAGAGUGGCUUUGCCACUGGUUUUGUCUCGGAUCACUUGCUGAUCAAGCCGAUCUCUCGUCGGCUAGGUAACUUCUAAACAUCCUAUAGAACAUAGGGUUAUGGUGCACUUUUAUUUCCAAACUAGGCUUAGCCAAUUGCGACCGUCGGCAGUCCCUCCAAGGCACCUUGCCAAGGACACGACUGUGGGUAGCUAGACCACCAAAGGGAAAGGGCAUGGUUUGGCCGUUCUUAGGGAUUGUAUGAAUGGUUUGUAUGUGAUUGUUGAGUGAGCUGUGAGAUAAUACUUUGUAUCGCUCGUGAUUGUACAAGCCUUGAUCCCCUAAGCGUUGUAGUAGGAAUUAAGCCUUGGGUCCGGGAAAACAUACUUGUAUCUUUACCCAGGGAACUAUUAAGUCGGGGUUGCUGUCCGGCUGGAUCAACUUUUGUAAUUAACUUGUCCAAGUUUUGGGCUUACGGCUCCCUCGAGUGAUCUUGAGAAGGGGAUCGACACCGGGUCAGCAGAUUUUACCGACGCCGGGUCUAGGGUUCCCACCAUUUUCAGAUUUGUUUUUGGUUUUUGAUGUUCUUAUCUAGCUGUAGGUAAGGCCCAGGAUCAUGAAUUAGAUGGUGAACAGUGAUACCAAGAGCACAAGGAGCAAGUCAUUGACGCUGUUACACUGACGACAACAUCUAUGCGUUCCACUUACCUCAGUUCUUAAUAAGCUGUGGAUUGGACGGCAAGGUUGUAGAUUCAAUCUAAAAUGAUAAGGUGCUAGAAGUUGUAGACCCUACAACUAUGUAAUUUAUAUGUGCAGUUGCUUUUCUACUAACUAGAUGUGCGCAUGUAUAGAUCUUGUUCAUGCUUGCUAGUGUUAUUCAAAAUUCAUGGACUACACAAUUGAUGACAUGCCCAUUGGUAAGCAUUUGUUUUUUAUGAAAAUCAG